CAGAGUUUGUCGGAUCCUGAUUUCAGUCAUACUGGACUACAUUAGAAGUAAUCAGAAUGCAGUAACUCCAAAUCUCUUCUGGUGUCACCAAGAUCAGAUGCUCCCUGAAAAAGCCAUUUGUGGCGGCAAAAAAAAUCAAUCUCUGCAUUGUGACCUGCUGUGAUUGUUACUGCAUGGGAGUAAUUGAAAACACUCCCGUGGUGCUGCAUUUUCUCUCUCUGCAGUUCCUCUACUUUUCCUUGGAUGCUACAGAACCUCUCAGUACCUGGGUGGGUCAAUGGCAAGACAUGUAGGGGUAGCAUAAAACUCCUGUGCCUGAGGGUACUUUCUUAGGCUAUAGAAACAGGAAUGGAGGAACAAAGCCUGAAGCCUAAACCUGGAGACAAUUUCGCCACAACAGCUAUGUACAAAUGACCAGGCUGCCUACUGAAAGCGUGAGAAAGGAGUAGGAUUUGCAUGAAAAGGAGACAAACUUAAGUAAGAAAUUAAUCACUGAGGGCAGCCAUAUCUAUCUAGCCAUGAACUGUCAAAACUUUGACUCUGUUAGCCCACUGACAAGCAUGGAAAGGAUCGUGAUGUGCACUGAAACUAACCCAGUGACUCAAUAGCCCAAGCAGCAGUGUGAAGAAGCUCCUCUAAGUGCCCACAGCAGAAGGAACCUGUGAUUCACCCUGGCACAACUUUACUCAUCCCCCCAUCCUCUGUAUCUUCUGCUCCUUCAGAAUUGCCUUUUGGCUGCCGCUGCUGUUGAAACAGGCGG